UCAACUCCGAGUCGACCAGAAAUAC
rnacentral:piRNA from 1 species